rnacentral:lncRNA from 1 species
UGCUUAUCUAAGAUGGUGAGGAAAUUACUUUUAAAGAACGACCAGGCAUCCUCGACUGACAGGAUGAGGUCAAUAUCUUUCCAGGACACCCGGGCCACGUCGAUUAGAAAGGCCUGCUCGCAGAAGUGUUUUAGGGAGCAUUUGACAGUGAUGAGGGGUGGUCAUUUGUCCCAUAGCGGAUACAGGCAAGGAAAUCAGUCAAUUGAAAUAAAAUCAUUAGGCCCUAAUCUAUGGAUUUCACAUGACUGGGAAUACAGAUAUGCGUCUGUUGGUCACAGAUGCCUUAAAAAAAAGGUAGGGUUGUGGAAGAAAACCAGUCCGUAUCUGGUGUGACCACCAUUUGACUCAUGCAGCACGACACAUCUUCUUAGCAUAGAGUUGAUCAGGCUGUUGAUUGUGGCAUGUGGGAUGUUGUCCCAUUGUUCAAUGGCUGUGCGAAGUUACUGGAUAUCGGCAGGAACCGCAACACACUGUCGUAUAUCCCAACAUGCUCAAUGGGUGACAUUUCUGCAGAGGUAACUCUGGGAUUUCCUUUCCUGUGGCGGUCCUCGUGAGAGCCAGAUUCAUCAUAGCGCUUGAUGAUUUUUGCGACUGCACUUGAAGAAACUUUCAAAGUUCUUAAAAUUUGACUGAACUUCAUGUCUUAAAGUAAUGAUGGACUUUCAUUUCUCUUUGCAUAUUUGAGCUGUUCUUGCCAUAAUAUGGACUUGGUCUUUUAACAAAUGUCUUCUGUAAGCCACCCCUACCUUGUCACAACACAAAUGAUUGGCUGAAAUGCAUUAAGAAGGAAAUCAAUUACACAAUUUAACUUUUAUCAAGGCACACCUGUUAAUUGAAAUGCAUUCCAGGUGACUACCUCAUGAAGCUGGUUGAGAGAAUGCCAAGAGUGUGCAAAGCUGUCAUCAAGGCAAAGGGUGGCUACUUUGAAGAAUUUCAAAUAUAAAAUAUAUUUUGAUUUGUUUAACACUUUUUUGUUUACUACAUGAUUUCAUAUAUGUUAUUUUAUAGUUUGGAUGUCUUCACUAUUAUUCUACAAUGUAGAAAAUAGUACAAAUAAAGAAAAACCCUUGAAUGGGAAAGUGUGUCUCAACUUUUGACUGGU